AUACAUAGCUGGUGGAUGAGACACUAUGAUUAAGAAAAUGGUUUUCCUGGGGCAAAUUUUAUCCAUUGCUUUCUGACAUGCUGACCGCUGCAAUUUCUUCAAAUGUGAGAAACUCAGAGGCAUAAUUUGAGUUGGGGGAGAAUUUGCUCAAUGUCUUGUU